UACAGAGGUCUCAAGCGUUGUUCGGAUUCAUUGGGCGUAAAGGGUGCGUAGGCGGCGCGGUAAGUCGGGUGUGAAAUCUCGGAGCUUAACUCCGAAACUGCAUUCGAUACUGCCGUGCUUGAGGACUGGAGAGGAGACUGGAAUUUACGGUGUAGCGGUGAAAUGCGUAGAUAUCGUAAGGAACACCAGUGGCGAAGGCGGCUCACUGGCCCGAUACUGACGCUGAGGCGCGAAAGCGUGGGGAGCAAACAGG
rnacentral:rRNA from 1 species